ACCGCAAUUAAUUGGGAAUGGGGUGAAAAUCCCCGACUGUCCCGCAGCUGUGAGCUCCCUUUAAACUCUGAAGCGACAAUGCCAUUGCCUGUUAUAAGGUGAGAAGGCGUUUCAGGGUGGAGCAAAGUCAGAAGACCAGCCUCCGGCUCAU
rnacentral:ncRNA from 1 species